rnacentral:rRNA from 1 species
UAGGGAAUCUUCGGCAAUGGACGGAAGUCUGACCGAGCAACGCCGCAUGAGUGAAGAAGGUUUUCGGAUCGUAAAGCUCUGUUGUAAGAGAAGAACGAGUGUGAGAGUGGAAAGUUCACACUGUGACGGUAUCUUACCAGAAAGGGACGGCUAACUACGUGCCAGCAGCCGCGGUAAUACGUAGGUCCCGAGCGUUGUCCGGAUUUAUUGGGCGUAAAGCGAGCGCAGGCGGUUAGAUAAGUCUGAAGUUAAAGGCUGUGGCUUAACCAUAGUACGCUUUGGAAACUGUUUAACUUGAGUGCAAGAGGGGAGAGUGGAAUUCCAUGUGUAGCGGUGAAAUGCGUAGAUAUAUGGAGGAACACCGGUGGCGAAAGCGGCUCUCUGGCUUGUAACUGACGCUGAGGCUCGAAAGCGUGGGGAGCAAACAGGAUUAGAUACCCUGGUAGUCCACGCCGUAAACGAUGAGUGCUAGGUGUUAGACCCUUUCCGGGGUUUAGUGCCGCAGCUAACGCAUUAAGCACUCCGCCUGGGGAGUACGACCGCAAGGUUG